rnacentral:rRNA from 1 species
GGCGCUGGAGAAUUGAGGGGGGCUGCUCCUAGUACGAGAGGACCGGAGUGGACGCAUCACUGGUGUUCGGGUUGUCAUGCCAAUGGCACUGCCCGGUAGCUAAAUGCGGAAGAGAUAAGUGCUGAAAGCAUCUAAGCACGAAACUUGCCCCGAGAUGAGUUCUCCCUGAGACCUUGAGUCUCCUGAAGGAACGUUAAAGACGAUGACGUUGAUAGGUCGGGUGUGUAAGCGCAGCGAUGCGUUGAGCUAACCGAUACUAAUGAACCGUGAGGCUUAACCUU